CCCCCCCCCCCCCACUCACCCUGGUUUAGCGUCCGGAGAUGUGGAACGGGACGUCCAUGAGAUGGGGCUGCCUUCACCUCCGCCCCACCCUUCCAUGUGGCUCGCUCAGCUGCCAGCCGACCGUGAUGGAUGCGGUGGCGAGGACGACCGGCAGCCCCCUGGUGAGGUUUGACCAAAGGAUGGAUGUGUUUGCUGAAACAAAGUUGCAAAGAGAUGGCAUCGAGUUGAGUACAGGAUUCAGAGUGAUAAAGGUCUCUGAUGAUUUGAUUGCAGUGAAGUACAAAUCAUCUGGUGGAGAAUCAUUGGUGCCAUAUGGGAUGGUCGUUAACAUCUCAUCGAACUAUCGGUGUUCCUUUGUUUUUGGAUGCAUGAUCGGAGGACGAACCUGUCGUACUCGCAGCAUGUGUCGCUGGUGUACACGCCGGUGCCGCCAAGAAGGAGGAGCAGGUGGUGUACGAGGCAGCCAGUUGCAAUGGAGGAGGACGAGAUCCACGAGGAGGGCUUCCUAGAGAUAUCACAACAUCUCCAAAUGUUACAACAAGGAGAAGAAAAGGCAAGAUGUUUAAGGCUGGUGCACCCUGUUUAAAUGAAUGGUUUUACAGUUUGGUGCUGAACAAUAUGAGAAAGCUGCUGCUGGAGGUGGUGGAUUCGAGGGCGGUUUUGAAAAUCCUAUUGAGGAUAUUUUUGGUUCUCUUAUGACCGUACUGGCAGAAUGAAUGAUGUAUGCCAUCUAUUCUGAGUUGUUAAUCUUGUCUACUGCUACAGCAAUGGGCAUCUAAAAUAAUUCUUUUCGGAGGUCAAUGGCAAGAGGUGAAUGAUAUAUUGGUAUUGUACAGAGUCUUCGAUCCAAAGGGUAAUGCUUGCUGGAUAUAGGGACUGCCGCAACCCACAGGUUUUCCAUCGACAGAUUCCAGUUGGUGUCACAAAGGAUAUAUGCUCAUUGGAUUUGUUGAUGUUGAAGCAUCAGUGAGAUCACAUGAAUGCGGAAUCAGGGUGCUUAUGAGAUCACAUGAAUGAGGUAUUACACCCGCUCCAAAAGUUUCUCAAAUAUACUCUAAAUUUGUUGUAUGUAUGAUGUUUCCGUUGUUCAUUUCUGUUAUUUUUAUUUCUAAUCCUAAUAAGAAUACAAGCAGUGCUCAUAUUCUUGUGUUGUAUACAAAGUGCCCAUAUUCUUGUGCUAUUAUGACAAAUUCUUUAGACACAUAGAAGUCAUAUCUGGUUUACAACAUAUCUAUCAUUAUGAAAUUGUAUUAAUACUAUACAUCUUAUCCGUCAGUUGCUCUUCCUAAUCCGAAGGAACUUCUGGCCCGGAAUCCAACUGAAACUAAAUUUCAGAAAAAGUUUGUUGUGUAUGCAUGGAAAUACACUAUGAAUCUCCAAAUGUUCAGUGGUAAAAUCUUGCAAGAUGAAGAAGGUAGUUCUUCUUAAUGGUAAAGCAUGUAUUGGAUGAUAGAGUUGAUAGCAUUUCAAUCUCAGUGUUGCAUAUUACCAUAAGGAUUUAGUUAAGGUCAGACCUUUGCUUUAAUAGUUUCUUCUAAAUUGGACACAAACCCCAUACCAUGUCUUUGAGACGGAGUUGGUUCGCACUUGUACUGCUGGAGGGCAUGCGUCUCUGUGAAGCCAUUUUCAUGCAGGUUCACACAUAUUUGUCUUCCACAUAUAGAAAACUAACAGACGUUAGCAUCAGGUUAUUUGUUUUCUUUUGUAAAAGGUAUGGAAGCUUUAGUCUAAUUAACAAAAGGAAGCUUUACUGAGCAAGACAGAAAAAUAAAUAAAAUUACGACAUGAAUUGAAUCAACAUUUUAAAUGCCAGCCAGAUCAAAAGAAAUAUUUUUUUUUACAUAAUACUUGUUAGAAUUAUAGAAAAAAAAUGAAGUCCUCCCUGUGCUGGAUAGAACCUUCUCCAGUUCAUGUUUAGUAGGGCACCAACUACUUUGUAGUAUGCAAAAACAUGAUGAGGUCCAUCGGCUCCUGAACCAAGCAGGGAAAUAGUUCCGAAAGAUAGACCGCCUUAAAUAAGAGUGCAUUUUUUGAUUAUUUCAUGAAGCAGAGAGGAUUUUAAUAAGCCGUAAGGUACUAAUUUUUUCCUAUGUAGCAAAGUAUAAAGAUAGGGCCUCAAAAUUUCAGUACUACUAUCAUUAUCUUGGAUCAGAUGAUGUUGGUUUUGUUAUUCUACAUGCCCUUUUGUAGUGCGUGAGGGACACAACUAUAUAUGGUGCUCUUUGGAUUGAGAAUGUCAAAGCCGGCUAUAUUGAUAGGCUUGUGCAGAUUAUUUCGAAAGAGACAGAGGUUGCUAUGGUUUGUACAUUCAAAAGGAAAAUGUAUCUGUUCAAGGCAGUGAGGUAUGUCCCAUGUUUACUCAUACACACAACCUGUCUUGUACUUCCUGGUGGCAAUACAUUAUUUGAUAUCAUCUCUGUCUAUUAUUAUUCGGGUUGAUGUAUUGGUUCUGUUUAUCUCUAUUAUUAGAAAGUACUUGCAGCAGUGUCUUUCGGCUAUAGCUAAGGAAGAAAUAUUCUGACAUUUGUAGCUUCUAAAUGUAUUGUAGCACAUUUGGAUAGAUUCUUCAUUAUCAUAACAAAUGUGAUGAUGCGGGUCUAUAGACAGUUCUGAACAUAAGCACUAGAAAAUAUGUUUGUCUGCGAUGACCAUAUAAAUAAAUAUGGUCUAUCUCCAGUCUGAGUAAUAGUGCUCAAACAAGUCAAAUUCUAUAUUUUAGAUUAGUGGUACAUAUUGUCGUCUUAGUGCUACCUUCAAUUGGAGCAUUGUAUAUGACGCUAAGCAACCAGUUCUGCAAUCCACUUUUAUUCAUGCAAUUAUUUUUUGGAGCAUUAUAUAUUGCUUCCUGCAUCUAAACUUUUAUCAUAUACUCCAUCCGUCUCGAAUUAGCUGUUGCAGAAAUGGAUAAAAAUGUAUGUAUAUAGAACUAACAUACGUCUAGAUACAUCUAUUCCUGCAACAAGUAAUUUCGGGCGGAGGGACUAUAUGUGUGAGCAAGCUGAUAGACGAGGAGGCCGAGCCAUCCCCAAGGGCGUCGACAUCAUCUUGCUCCUUGCCUCGUGGGGCGGAGGAUGAGGAGGCGGGUAAGUCCACAGCGCCGUCGUCGUCGUUCUCGCCUUCGAGCGAAAGCGGGUGUUGAACGUGGUUGACCGAGGGUGUCGCGAGCAACCUGAUCGUUUAUGUAACCUAAGACUAGUGCCUGUUGCACCACAUGCGCCCGUUGAUAUCUAUGAUCUAUGAUGUCAGCUGCUUUUCUUUUAGAGACGAUCCAUUGUCUGAAUAUGUUGCAUUUGUACUACUUUUUCUAAUAAUUCCGGUCAGUUACUUGGUCA